rnacentral:rRNA from 1 species
CCUACGGGUGGCAGCAGUGAGGAAUAUUGGGCAAUGCACGAGAGAGUGACCCAGCCACGUAGCGUGAAUGAUGACGGCCCUAUGGGUGGUAAACUUCUUCUAUAUGGGAAUAAAACACAGUAUGCAUACCCUCAUGUAUUUACGAUAUGAAUAUGGAUCGGCUAACUUCGUUCCAGCAGACGGGGUGAGACGGAGGAUACGAGCGUUACCCGGUUUUGUUGGGUUUAAAGGGAGCGUAGGUGGAUUGGUAAGUCAGUUGUGAAAGUAUGGGGCUCAACCGUAAUAUUGCAGUUGAAACUAGCAGUCUUGAGUACAGUAGAGGAGGGCAGAAUUCGUGGUGUAGCGGUGAAAUGCUUAGAUAUCAGGAAGAACUCCGAUUGCGAAGGCAGCUCACUGGCCUGAAACUGACACUGAUGCUCGAAAGUGUGGGUAUCAAACAGGAUUAGAUACCCGGGUAGUC